rnacentral:lncRNA from 10 species
AAAUAGGCAAAUUUGUAGACGAAAAGUAGAUCAGUGGUUUCCUGCAGCUGAAGUGUAGGUUGAAAGUGGAGCAUGACUGAAUGCCCUUUCUAAAACAAGUAAACCUAUAAUUCAUAUUUCCUUAAGAAAAUAAAAAUUUUAUUAAAUCAAGAUUUAAUUUACCAUGAAGAACACAGAGUUAUUAUUAGUGCAAGACUUUAUUCAUCCUCUCCCCAGCCAAAUCCCAAGAGGAUGGCCACCUUUGGAACUUUUUACUGGCAGCUUACUUAACCUAAGUCAGUCUCCUAAUCUAGUGGUCUUUGAAAUGGGGAUGUAUAAGACAACCAUUUGACACAGGUAGAAAACUUUUACUUUUUUAAGCCCAUUCCCCUGGUAAACAAUAUAUGUACACACCUACAUAUUUGAGGUAUGUGUUCAGGUUUUUACUUAUGGGGUCACAAUAUUUAGGCUUUCCCUUAAUUUAUUAACAGGAUAAUAAUAGUACUCCAGCUUCAAAAAAUUGUGAAAAUUAAAUGUUAAGUAUAUUAAAUAAAACACAUAUAAUAUAUACAUGUACAUAUAAAGUAUUUAAAAUAAAGCCUCACAUUUGUGAUUAAUAUAUGCUACCUUUAGGAAAAUGAUUUAACCUUUAUGGAAAGGAAAAGAAAUUGAGUCCUCACAGAGUUCCAGGCACUUUCAUAAUCAUUUCUAAUCCCAAACACUU